UCCCUGGUGGCUCAGUACUAAAGAAUCUGCCUGCAAGGCAGGAAAUGCAGGUUCGAUCCCUGUGUUGGGAA
rnacentral:tRNA from 1 species